CCUGCCCCAGAGGUGUUGCGGGAGUGGCUGCUGUGUGCAUCAGAAGGUGGCAGGGAGGAGAGAGGAGGCUAUGUCCGCACUUAGUGUUAGACCUACAAACACCUGAAUGAUUAGUAACCCUGAAAUA